UUUAUAGCUUUCUGCUUUAUUAUUUGGAUUUCUUUUAACUAGUAUCUCUGCAUUUGAAAACUUACUCAGGCUUUGUGCUUUUGCAAUUCUUGCUUAGCACAAGCAUGAAUCUUAGUCCAUCUUAAUAAUUUGAUAGUCAAUUGUUUGUAUGAUCUGACUCUGAGGUUGUAGCUAAUGUGGGCUGGUUUUUUUAAUCAUUGCUGACUUGUAUUGAUAACAUUUGCAUGAGGAUGGACCAUCUUACCAUAUUGACUUCAUAUAUAUAUUAUGCAUAUAUGUGUGCUCAAAUCAUUGGUGAUUGCUUACUACAGUGAGUCAAUGAUAUUAUAUUUAAUUUAAAUCUAAUUUGAUCUAGUAUGCUUCAUUCAUUUAUAAUUUCAAAGUUUCAAUUUUUUUAAUAUCGAAUUGGCACAAUGAAUCUCGAAUAUUUAAUAUUUAAGUUUUUAGUUGUAACUUUCUACUGGUUUUCUUUGUUAUUAGUCUGUCCCUACAUUUUGAAGGCAACGAUAAUUGAGUUUCUAUUUUCUAAGGUUGUAUAAUAAUUCUCCUUAAAAACUAAUGAAAGCAUGAUCAUAUUUUGUACCUAUCUUCAUCUGUUUUAUGCAAUUUAAAUUAAGGGUAUUGUUCAUAAUGUUGAUAGUUGAUUGGACAGAGACAUUAUAACUUGAUCACUAGUCCAUCGUAAGAUUUUUGUAUUUAGUUGAAGGCAAUCAUUCAUUACCCUCAUUUUCCACUGGUUUUCAUCUAUUUUGAUUGAUUCAAAAGUUGCAAAUUUUAUCUGGCAUUUACAUGGUUGCUAAGGACAUUUUCUUGGAAUGAUUAGUUCUUUAUCCAUUUCUAUUCUCAUUUUCCAGGUUUCAUCUAUUUGAUUUCUUCAGAAGCUGAUAAUGUUCAUGUUUCUCUUCUGACAACUUUUUUUUCACUGUUUCUCGAUGCCAUGUUCAAUUGUAAGUAGUGCAUGUUGUAUCUUAUCAUGAUUUAUUGAAUUAUUGUGGUUUUGAACUUGUAACAUUGUGUUUCUCAUUCUUCCUUGUUUGGUUGUUCAUAAAAUUGAGGGAAAAUGGGUAUUUAACUACUUGAUAGAACUUGUAACAUUGUGUUUCUCAUUCUAGUCUAGUCAUCUAUGCAAGCCUUUUUCUCAUUCUAGUUUAGUCAUAUGCCAGAUGAGUAUGCUUUAAUUGUUCAACCAUAUGUAAUAUUAUGUGUCAUUUUUAGUUUUAUUGGUUUCAUGUUUUCCAUUCAAUUUACCUUUGGUUUUUUGUUUAGUUUGUUUUUAUUUGGAUUUUUUAGUUGGAACCAUUAUGUGUUAAAUGUGUAUCCUCUUGAAAUAAUGGAAUGGUUUGUGUUUUAGCUAAAUGAGUGGUUGAAGGUAGCAACAAGAAGGGGAAAAAUACCACUCAAGGGUGUGCUAAGUGUGUUAUUGCUUCCUCUUCUUCUUUGGCUUGUUUGAUUUCUUCCUUCACCCACAUUUGAGCAUAUUGUAUUCACUGAAUCACUGCAGAGCCAAUUACAACUAAUUCUACAGACCCAAGGUGGAAAUGGUUCAAGGUAUUGGAAAUUGCUUAGGUGCUUUAGAUGGAACCCGCAUCAAGAUUAGGGUUCCAACAGUUGAUAAACCUAGAUAUCGAACGCGAAAAGGUGACAUAGCAACAAAUAUGUUAGGUGUUUGUACACCUGAUAUGCGUUUUGUUUAUGUUCUUCCUGGUUGGGAAGGUUCUGUUGCUGAUGGACGAGUUCUUCGAGAUGCCAUUAGUAGGAGACAUGGACUAAAAGUUUCUCAUGGUUGUUAUUAUCUAGUUGAUGCUGGAUACACAAAUUGCGAGGGAUUUCUUGCACCUUUUAGAGGACAAAGAUAUCAUUUGAAUGAGUGGCGUCACGGUUACCAACCAAGUACUCCGAAAGAAUUUUUCAAUAUGAAACAUGCUUCAGCACGUAAUGUUAUUAAAAGAUUCUUUGGGUUAUUAAAACUUAGAUGGGGAAUACUUAGGAGUCCAUCAUUCUAUCCUGUGAGGGUGCACAACAGAAUCAUUAUUGCAUGUUGUUUGCUCCAUAAUUUUAUUCGAACCUAUAUGAGUCUUGAUCCUAUUGAAGCGGAGUUGGGAGAAGGAUUACCUAGUAAUGUGAUAGAUGACGAUGAACCGAAUAUCGUAAACAUUCAUCCAUUGGAUGCAUGGGCUACUUGGAGGAUGGAACUAGCCAACCAAAUGUCCGAUGAAUGGCAAGCAUCUAGAAAUUAGUUAGGUUUAGGGUAAAAAUAGUAAACGUUAAUUUUUUAUGUUAUUUCAUGUAUCUAGUUUAUGAAACUUUGGUUGUGUUUGAAUUAUUUUUUGUAUUGCACUAGACUUAUUGAAUUAUAAUUUAUUUUCUUUUGAUUCAUCAUGUGUUAUAAUUUUAUAAAGUGUUGACCUUUUGAUUCAUAAUAUUGAACUUAAUUUUAAUUUAUUUUUUUCCUUAAGAUAGUUAUGUCAGGUUUUUCACAAUCAAGUGUUUUUUCCUAAAAUUCUCGAGGAACCAAAAGGAAAUGGGUUCCAAAAGAAGAUGCUGCGUUGGUUGCCUGUAUGGUCGACUUGCACAAUGUUGGAACCUUUAAUGUUGAUACGAGAUUCAAAGUCGAUUAUUUAAAUGAGUUGGAAAAAAUGUUAGAAAAAGUUCUACCUAAUGCCAUGUUGAAGGCUAAACCUAAUCUUGAAUCGAGGAUUAGGACAUUGAAAAGGGAUUGGUCAAUCGUUUAUGACAUGCUUAGUGGAAAAAACAAUAGCAGUUUUGGUUGGGAUGAGCAUAGGCAGCUUGUUGUUGCUGAAGAUGCGGUGUGAAACUCAUAUAUAAAUUCAUAAAGAAGUCGAUCAAUUCAAACAUUGUAGUUUCCCUUAUCAUGACCAACUUACUACCAUCUACUCAAAAGAUCGAGCCACUGGGAAAGAUGCUCAAACAACCGCUGAUAUUUUGAAGAAAUAAAUGUUGAGGAUGUAGCUACUACAAAUACUCAUGAAGAAAGAAAUGAUUUCUAUGGAUGCGAAGCUGAUGUUUCUUUGGAUGAUAUGGAUGUUUCAGCUACACAACCGCAACCAGCUAGAAACCAAGGUGAUUCCACAUUUUCAAAGAAGAAAAGAAAGAUUUCUGAUGCAAGUGAUUAUAUUUCUUCUACUUCAUUUCAUGAUGCUGCCACUUUAUUAGCGAAAAACAUACGGACCAUUGGCGUUGAAAUCAGUAGGAGUAUUGCCUCCAAAGUGCUAAUUCAACAAAAGUCAGAAAUGACCAUUCAAGAAAGAGCUCUAACAUUAUAUCCAACAUUAUGUGAAGUAGAAGGUUUAACUGAGGAUGAGCGCUAUCGAGCAUUGAGCAAAAUUUUAGGUCAUCCAAUGCAAAUGCUCAUUUUCUUUAGUUUACCUUUUUCUGUGCGAUUGGAAUGGGUCAGAAGAUAUCUUAUUGACCAUUAAAAAUCAUGGCUGUGUUGAUGAUAUUUUGGUAACUUUUUGUAUUUGUAAUAUUUGGAUGGUAUAAUGACAUGAUAGAAUGUCAUUACAAUGUUGUAACUUUUUGAUGUUGUAAAAUUUUAUAACAUAUGGAUUAUGACAUAUAAACUAAU